rnacentral:tRNA from 1 species
GGGCGAUUAGCUCAGUUGGUUAGAGUACUUGCUCGACACGCAAGGGGUCACUGGUUCGAAUCCAGUAUCGCCCACCA